AUACGGAGGACGCGAGCGUUAUCCGGAUUCAUUGGGUUUAAAGGGUGCGCAGGCGGGAGAUUAAGUCGGCGGUGAAAUUUUGCAGCUCAACUUUAAAAAUGCCUUUGAAACUGGUUUCCUUGAGUGUAGAUGAAGUAGGCGGAAUUUUUGGUAUAGAGGUGAAAUGCAUAGAUAUCACGAGGAACUCCGAUUGCGCAGGCAGCUUACUAACCUACUACUGACGCUCAGGCACGAAGGCGUGGGGAUCAAACAGGAUUAGAUACCCUGGUAGGCCACGCAGUAAACGAUGAUUACUAGCUGUUUGCGAUACAAUGUAAGCGGCUGAGCGAAAGCGUUAAGUAAUCCCCCUGGGGAGUACGUUCGCAAGAAUGAAACUCAAAUGAAUUGGCGGGG
rnacentral:rRNA from 1 species